rnacentral:lncRNA from 1 species
CUUGAGACUGAUGCGUGCCAGGUUAUCAUUUGGCCUAGAAUACCUAAGGCGUUGCGAGAAAUGUGCAUGAUUUAAUGGAAUCCUACCUGAAAAUUCAGUGAGUUCUUCGCAUUGCGGUGCCGAUCCAUACACGCCGGGCAGG